rnacentral:rRNA from 1 species
AUUGAACGCUGGCGGCAGGCCUAACACAUGCAAGUCGAGCGGAUGACGGGAGCUUGCUCCUUGAUUCAGCGGCGGACGGGUGAGUAAUGCCUAGGAAUCUGCCUGGUAGUGGGGGACAACGUUUCGAAAGGAACGCUAAUACCGCAUACGUCCUACGGGAGAAAGCAGGGGACCUUCGGGCCUUGCGCUAUCAGAUGAGCCUAGGUCGGAUUAGCUAGUUGGUGGGGUAAUGGCUCAACAAGGCGACGAUCCGUACCUGGUCUGAGAGGAUGGUCAGUCACACUGGAACUGAGACACGGUCCAGACUCCUACGGGAGGCAGCAGUGGGGAAUAUUGGACAAUGGGCGAAAGCCUGAUCCAGCCAUGCCGCGCGUGUGUGAAGAAGGUCUUCGGAUUGUAAAGCACUUUAAGUUGGGAGGAAGGGCAGUAAGCUAAUACCUUGCUGUUUUGACGUUACCGACAGAAUAAGCACCGGCUAACUCUGUGCCAGCCGCCGCGGUAA